rnacentral:rRNA from 1 species
GAUGAACGCUGGCGGCGUGCCUAAUACAUGCAAGUCGAGCGAACGGACGAGAAGCUUGCUUCUCUGAUGUUAGCGGCGGACGGGUGAGUAACACGUGGAUAACCUACCUAUAAGACUGGGAUAACUUCGGGAAACCGGAGCUAAUACCGGAUAAUAUUUUGAACCGCAUGGUUCAAAAGUGAAAGACGGUCUUGCUGUCACUUAUAGAUGGAUCCGCGCUGCAUUAGCUAGUUGGUAAGGUAACGGCUUACCAAGGCAACGAUGCAUAGCCGACCUGAGAGGGUGAUCGGCCACACUGGAACUGAGACACGGUCCAGACUCCUACGGGAGGCAGCAGUAGGGAAUCUUCCGCAAUGGGCGAAAGCCUGACGGAGCAACGCCGCGUGAGUGAUGAAGGUCUUCGGAUCGUAAAACUCUGUUAUUAGGGAAGAACAUAUGUGUAAGUAACUGUGCACAUCUUGACGGUACCUAAUCAGAAAGCCACGGCUAACUACGUGCCAGCAGCCGCGGUAAUACGUAGGUGGCAAGCGUUAUCCGGAAUUAUUGGGCGUAAAGCGCGCGUAGGCGGUUUUUUAAGUCUGAUGUGAAAGCCCACGGCUCAACCGUGGAGGGUCAUUGGAAACUGGAAAACUUGAGUGCAGAAGAGGAAAGUGGAAUUCCAUGUGUAGCGGUGAAAUGCGCAGAGAUAUGGAGGAACACCAGUGGCGAAGGCGACUUUCUGGUCUGUAACUGACGCUGAUGUGCGAAAGCGUGGGGAUCAAACAGGAUUAGAUACCCUGGUAGUCCACGCCGUAAACGAUGAGUGCUAAGUGUUAGGGGGUUUCCGCCCCUUAGUGCUGCAGCUAACGCAUUAAGCACUCCGCCUGGGGAGUACGACCGCAAGGUUGAAACUCAAAGGAAUUGACGGGGACCCGCACAAGCGGUGGAGCAUGUGGUUUAAUUCGAAGCAACGCGAAGAACCUUACCAAAUCUUGACAUCCUUUGACAACUCUAGAGAUAGAGCCUUCCCCUUCGGGGGACAAAGUGGCAGGUGGUGCAUGGUUGUCGUCAGCUCGUGUCGUGAGAUGUUGGGUUAAGUCCCGCAACGAGCGCAACCCUUAAGCUUAGUUGCCAUCAUUAAGUUGGGCACUCUAAGUUGACUGCCGGUGACAAACCGGAGGGAGGUGGGGAUGACGUCAAAUCAUCAUGCCCCUUAUGAUUUGGGCUACACACGUGCUACAAUGGACAAUACAAAGGGCAGCGAAACCGCGAGGUCAAGCAAAUCCCAUAAAGUUGUUCUCAGUCCGGAUUGUAGUCUGCAACUCGACUACAUGAAGCUGGAAUCGCUAGUAAUCGUAGAUCAGCAUGCUACGGUGAAUACGUUCCCGGGUCU